rnacentral:tRNA from 3 species
CGGAGUAUAGCGCAGCUAGGUUAGCGCGUCCGGCUGGGGGCCGGAAGGUCGCAGGUUCGAAUCCUGCUACUCCGACCA